rnacentral:rRNA from 1 species
GACGAACGCUGGCGGCGUGCUUAACACAUGCAAGUCGAACGGUGAAGCGCCUUCCUUUUUGGUGGGUGUGGAUGAGUGGCGAGCGGGUGAGUAACACGUGAGUAACCUGCCCCCUUCUUCUGGAUAACCGCAUGAAAGUGUGGCUAAUACGGGGUAUUCUGGGUCUGUCGCAUGAUGGGUCUGGGAAAGAUAUUGUUUCGGUGGGGGAUGGGCUCGCGGCCUAUCAGCUUGUUGGUGGGGUGAUGGCCUACCAAGGCGGUGACGGGUAGCCGGCCUGAGAGGGUGGACGGUCACACUGGGACUGAGACACAGCCCAGACUCCUACGGGAGGCAGCAGUGGGGAAUAUUGCACAAUGGGCGCAAGCCUGAUGCAGCGACGCCGCGUGAGGGAUGGAGGCCUUCGGGUUGUGAACCUCUUUCGCCAGUGAAGCAGGCCUGCCUCGUUUGUGGGUGGGUUGACGGUAGCUGGAUAAGAAGCGCCGGCUAACUACGUG